AGUGAACGCUGGCGGCAGGCCUAACACAUGCAAGUCGAACGGCAGCACAGUAAGAGCUUGCUCUUACGGGUGGCGAGUGGCGGACGGGUGAGGAAUACACCGGAAUCUACUUUUUAGUGGGGGAUAACGUAGGGAAACUUACGCUAAUACCGCAUACGACCUACGGGUGAAAGCAGGGGAUCUUCGGACCUUGCGCGAUUGAAUGAGCCGAUGUCGGAUUAGCUAGUUGGCGGGGUAAAGGCCCACCAAGGCGACGAUCCGUAGGUGGUCCGAGAGGAUGAUCAGCCACACUGGAACUGAGGAACGGUCCAAGCUCCUACGGGAAGGAGCAGGGGGGAAUAUUGGGAAAUGGGGGGAAAGCUGAUCCAGCCAAACCGCGUGGGAGAAGGAGGCCUUCGGGUUGUAAAGUCCUUUUGUAGGGAAAGAAAAGCAGCAGGUUAAUACCCCGCUGUUCUGACGGUACCCAAAGAAUAAGCACCGGCUAACUUCGUG
rnacentral:rRNA from 1 species